AGUGAACGCUGGCGGUAGGCCUAACACAUGCAAGUCGAACGGCAGCACAGUAAGAGCUUGCUCUUACGGGUGGCGAGUGGCGGACGGGUGAGGAAUACAUCGGAAUCUACUUUUUCGUGGGGGAUAACGUAGGGAAACUUACGCUAAUACCGCAUACGACCUACGGGUGAAAGCAGGGGACCUUCGGACCUUGCGCGAUUGAAUGAGCCGAUGUCGGAUUAGCUAGUUGGCGGGGUAAAGGCCCACCAAGGCGACGAUCCGUAGCUGGUCUGAGAGGAUGAUCAGCCACACUGGAACUGAGACACGGUCCAGACUCCUACGGGAGGCAGCAGUGGGGAAUAUUGGACAAUGGGCGCAAGCCUGGUCCAGCCAUACCGCGUGGGUGAAGAAGGCCUUCGGGUUGUAAAGCCCUUUUGUUGGGAAAGAAAAGCAGCAGGUUAAUACCCCGCUGUUCUGACGGUACCCAAAGAAUAAGCACCGGCUAACUUCGUG
rnacentral:rRNA from 1 species